rnacentral:rRNA from 1 species
ACAGCCACAUCACAUUGAGACACUGGUUCCCAUAUGAUCACCAAAGUUAAGCAACAUUGAGCCUGGCCAGUACCUAGAUGCGUGAUGCUUGGGAAUACCAGGUGUUGUAAG